AACGAACGCUGGCGGCAUGCCUAACACAUGCAAGUCGAACGAGACCUUCGGGUCUAGUUGCGCACGGGUGCGUAACGCGUGGGAAUCUGCCCUGGGGUACGGAAUAACUCAGAGAAAUUUGAGCUAAUACCGUAUGAUGACGUAAGUCCAAAGAUUUAUCGCCCUGGGAUGAGCACGCGUAGGGUUAGCUUGUUGGUGAGGUAAAGGCUCACCAAGGCGACGAUCCUUAGCUGGUCUGAGAGGAUGAUCAGCCACACUGGGACUGAGACACGGCCCAGACUCCUACGGGAGGCAGCAGUGUGGAAUAUUGGACAAUGGGCGAAAGCCUGAUGCAGCAAUGCCGCGUGAGUGAUGAAGGCCCGAGGGUUGUAAAGCUCUUUUACCCGGGAAGAUAAUGACUGUACCGGGAGAAUAAGCCCCGGCUAACUCCGUGCCAGCCGCCGCAGUAA
rnacentral:rRNA from 1 species